AGCCUAGCUGGAGGUCGACGAUACAUCUUAGUGGACGGUGAUACGGUUCUGCCCUUGCCUGGAAUAACCAGGAAAUUGUGCUAUCCGGAUAAUCUUUACGGAAAAGCUUUAUGCACCUUGGAUGAGCCCGCACUUGAUUAGUUAUGGUAGGGAAGGCCUACCAAGACUGGACAAUAGCUGAUUGAGAGGUGAUCACCUUGGGCUGAACACGCCACUCCUACGGGAGGCGGGGGAAUCUUGCCGGGGAAACUCUGAUGCACGAUGCCGCGUGAGUGAAAAGGCCCUUGGGUUGUAAAGUCUUUCGUCGGAAAAAUGAUGUACCCAUAAGAGGUCCGGUACUUCGCCAACGCGGUAAUACGAAGGGACUAUAUUCGGAAUUACUGGGCUUAAAAUUCGAGGUGGUGAAAAAGUUGGUGGGAAAUCCCAGAGCUUAACUCUGGAGCUGCCAUCAAAACUUUUCAGCUAGAGUAUGAUAGAGGAAAGCAGAAUUUCUAGUGUAGAGGUGAAUUCGUAAUAUUAGAAAGAAUACCUGCGGGCAGCUUCUGGAUCUUACUGACACUGAGGAACGAAAGCAUGGGUAGCGAAGAAUUAGAUACCCUCGAGUCCAUGCCUAAAGAUGUGUGUUAGACGUUGAAAUUUAUUUCGUGUCGCAGCGAAAGCGAUAAACCCGCUGGGGAGUACGACCGCAGGUUAAACUCAAUGAAUGACGGGACCCGCACAAGGUAGGCAGCAUGUGUUUAAUCGAAGAUACGCGUAAACCUACCACUUGAAUGUUCGUCGACUCUAAAAGUUAGAUUUCGUGCGACAAGCUGCAUGUGUCGUGCUCGGUCAGUGAGAGUGCAGUCCCGACAGCGCAACUUUAGCAUCAUAGUUGGCCCUCUGAAAACUGCAACGUGUGGCAUAGGACUCACGCCACGCACGCACACGGGAG
rnacentral:rRNA from 1 species